GUUAAACUGGUUUUCUGAUGAUGCUGACAUGGGGUCAGUGCCACUAAACUUUAACAGAAAUGAUGGAAUCCUUCAUUAAUCAGUAACAGAAAUUACACAAAGGUUCCUGACAUUGGGGAGGUGAAUAAACCAUUCCCAUUGUUUCUGUCUCAGCACAAAGGAACAUCUCACUGACUUGACAUGUUCUGGUUUUGAAUUCAGGCUGCAAGAUAUCAGCAAAUCCCGGGAGGAACCACCGGUGCAGCCAAUAAUGAACAUAUACCCAAGAACUCUGAUGGGGGACCGGAGGAGGAGCUUCAAGGCGGCCUGGUACCAUAUCCACCCCUGGCUUGAAUAUUUUUUUUAAUCAGACUGUGUUUUGUUACGCCUGCAGGCAUUUUAGCKCUCCCAAAGUCUCAGAGACUGUAGUUGAUUCACAUUUGGGUUUUAACAACUGGAAGAAGGCAACUUACAAAGAGGGGGAUUUGCAGUUCCUGCAAGGUCUGAGCAGCACAAGGAAGCAAUGAUUACAUGGAGAGACUAUCAGAAGGCUGUAAAAAGUAAUGCAACACUGAUAAAUGCCCAAAACAAUGAACACAACAAACAGGUUCAAGAAAAUCGGGACUAUAUUAAAACAAUAGAUCACCUCAGCCCACUCUGCUCGUAACCAGACAAUAUCCUUGGCGCCACACCGUACGUGGACGCGGGCAGUUCUGUACGGGGACGCGGACAGUUCCAGAACGCGGACAUGAGCAGUGCAACACAAUCAACUAAACCCAGUCUUUACAGUGGGUUACAUGAGUAAUAUUAAUUUUGUAUUAUUAUGUUAAACUAACAUUCUACGUUUUUUUAUCACAAUAUUUUGAGAUCUGGGCCCAUAUCCACAAAGCUUCUCAAUGUACAAAAUUGGUCAUAUAAGUGCUGAGAAUAAAGACAUUUUACACUUAUGGGUAUAAAUUAAAGCUAUGCAUGAAGUCUCUGGUCCCACCUAGUCAGCAGAUAUUCAGGACACCUCGUGAGCUGUCCUAAGUAGUUAAGAGUUCACAGCAGGUGUCUUGAUAAUACUAUAGAAUAAUGCAGCGAGUCAGUGUGUCACGCCCUGGCCUUAGUAUUCUUUGUUUUCUUUAUUAUUUUAGUUAGGUCAGGGUGUGACAUGGGGAA